rnacentral:rRNA from 1 species
CAUCAUCGUGAUAUCAAAGGAGUAAUUCGCUGAAGGAUGGACUCGCGUCCGAUUAGCUAGUUGGUGAGGUAAUGGCUCACCAAGGCGACGAUCGGUAGCCGAACUGAGAGGUUGAUCGGCCGCAUUGGGACUGAGACACGGCCCAGACUCCUACGGGAGGCAGCAGUGGGGGAUAUUGCACAAUGGAGGAAACUCUGAUGCAGCAACGCCGCGUGAGGGAAGAAGGUCUUCGGAUUGUAAACCUUAGUAGUCAGGGAAGAAAGAAAUGACGGUACCUGAAAAGUAAGCUCCGGCUAACUACGUGCCAGCAGCCGCGGUAAUACGUAGGGAGCAAGCGUUGUCCGGAUUUACUGGGUGUAAAGGGUGCGUAGGCGGGACUGCAAGUCAGGCGUGAAAUACCGAGGCUUAACCUCGGGGCUGCGUUUGAAACUGUAGUUCUUGAGUGAAGUAGAGGCAGGCGGAAUUCCUAGUGUAGCGGUGAAAUGCGUAGAUAUUAGGAGGAACACCAGUGGCGAAGGCGGCCUGCUGGGCUUUAACUGACGCUGAGGCACGAAAGCAUGGGGAGCAAACAGGAUUAGAUACCCUGGUAGUCCAUGCCGUAAACGAUGAUAGCUAGGUGUGGGGGGACUGACCCCUUCCGUGCCGGAGUAAACACAAUAAG